rnacentral:rRNA from 1 species
CAGUCGAGCGGUAGCACAGAGAGCUUGCUCUCGGGUGACGAGCGGCGGACGGGUGAGUAAUGUCUGGGAAACUGCCUGAUGGAGGGGGAUAACUACUGGAAACGGUAGCUAAUACCGCAUAAUGUCGCAAGACCAAAGUGGGGGACCUUCGGGCCUCAUGCCAUCAGAUGUGCCCAGAUGGGAUUAGCUAGUAGGUGGGGUAACGGCUCACCUAGGCGACGAUCCCUAGCUGGUCUGAGAGGAUGACCAGCCACACUGGAACUGAGACACGGUCCAGACUCCUACGGGAGGCAGCAGUGGGGAAUAUUGCACAAUGGGCGCAAGCCUGAUGCAGCCAUGCCGCGUGUAUGAAGAAGGCCUUCGGGUUGUAAAGUACUUUCAGCGGGGAGGAAGGCGAUAAGGUUAAUAACCUUGUCGAUUGACGUUACCCGCAGAAGAAGCACCGGCUAACUCCGUGCCAGCAGCCGCGGUAAUACGGAGGGUGCAAGCGUUAAUCGGAAUUACUGGGCGUAAAGCGCACGCAGGCGGUCUGUCAAGUCGGAUGUGAAAUCCCCGGGCUCAACCUGGGAACUGCAUUCGAAACUGGCAGGCUAGAGUCUUGUAGAGGGGGGUAGAAUUCCAGGUGUAGCGGUGAAAUGCGUAGAGAUCUGGAGGAAUACCGGUGGCGAAGGCGGCCCCCUGGACAAAGACUGACGCUCAGGUGCGAAAGCGUGGGGAGCAAACAGGAUUAGAUACCCUGGUAGUCCACGCCGUAAACGAUGUCGAUUUGGAGGUUGUGCCCUUGAGGCGUGGCUUCCGGAGCUAACGCGUUAAAUCGACCGCCUGGGGAGUACGGCCGCAAGGUUAAAACUCAAAUGAAUUGACGGGGGCCCGCACAAGCGGUGGAGCAUGUGGUUUAAUUCGAUGCAACGCGAAGAACCUUACCUGGUCUUGACAUCCACAGAACUUAGCAGAGAUGCUUUGGUGCCUUCGGGAACUGUGAGACAGGUGCUGCAUGGCUGUCGUCAGCUCGUGUUGUGAAAUGUUGGGUUAAGUCCCGCAACGAGCGCAACCCUUAUCCUUUGUUGCCAGCGGUUCGGCCGGGAACUCAAAGGAGACUGCCAGUGAUAAACUGGAGGAAGGUGGGGAUGACGUCAAGUCAUCAUGGCCCUUACGACCAGGGCUACACACGUGCUACAAUGGCAUAUACAAAGAGAAGCGACCUCGCGAGAGCAAGCGGACCUCAUAAAGUAUGUCGUAGUCCGGAUUGGAGUCUGCAACUCGACUCCAUGAAGUCGGAAUCGCUAGUAAUCGUAGAUCAGAAUGCUACGGUGAAUACGUUCCCGGGCCUUGUACACACCGCCCGUCACACCAUGGGAGUGGGUUGCAAAAGAAGUAGGUAGCUUAACCUUCGGGAGGGC